rnacentral:rRNA from 1 species
AUUGAACGCUGGCGGCAUGCUUUACACAUGCAAGUCGAACGGCAGCGCGGGCUUCGGCCUGGCGGCGAGCGGCGAACGGGUGAGUAAUGCAUCGGAACGUGCCCAGUAGUGGGGGAUAGCCCGGCGAAAGCCGGAUUAAUACCGCAUACGACCUGAGGGUGAAAGCGGGGGACCGAAAGGCCUCGCGCUAUUGGAGCGGCCGAUGUCGGAUUAGCUAGUUGGUGGGGUAAAGGCUUACCAAGGCGACGAUCCGUAGCUGGUCUGAGAGGACGACCAGCCACACUGGGACUGAGACACGGCCCAGACUCCUACGGGAGGCAGCAGUGGGGAAUUUUGGACAAUGGGGGCAAGCCUGAUCCAGCCAUGCCGCGUGCGGGAAGAAGGCCUUCGGGUUGUAAAGCGCUUUUGUUCGGGAAGAAAUCCUCUGGGCUAAUACCCCGGGGGGAUGACGGUACCGGAAGAAUAAGCACCGGCUAACUACGUG